rnacentral:rRNA from 1 species
AGAGUUUGAUCCUGGCUCAGGACGAACGCUGGCGGCGUGCCUAAUACAUGCAAGUAGAACGCUGAAGAGAGGAGCUUGCUCUUCUUGGAUGAGUUGCGAACGGGUGAGUAACGCGUAGGUAACCUGCCUUGUAGCGGGGGAUAACUAUUGGAAACGAUAGCUAAUACCGCAUAACAAUGGAUGACCCAUGUCAUUUAUUUGAAAGGGGCAAAUGCUCCACUACAAGAUGGACCUGCGUUGUAUUAGCUAGUAGGUGAGGUAACGGCUCACCUAGGCGACGAUACAUAGCCGACCUGAGAGGGUGAUCGGCCACACUGGGACUGAGACACGGCCCAGACUCCUACGGGAGGCAGCAGUAGGGAAUCUUCGGCAAUGGGGGCAACCCUGACCGAGCAACGCCGCGUGAGUGAAGAAGGUUUUCGGAUCGUAAAGCUCUGUUGUAAGUCAAGAACGAGUGUGAGAGUGGAAAGUUCACACUGUGACGGUAGCUUACCAGAAAGGGACGGCUAACUACGUGCCAGCAGCCGCGGUAAUACGUAGGUCCCGAGCGUUGUCCGGAUUUAUUGGGCGUAAAGCGAGCGCAGGCGGUUUGAUAAGUCUGAAGUUAAAGGCUGUGGCUCAACCAUAGUUCGCUUUGGAAACUGUCAAACUUGAGUGCAGAAGGGGAGAGUGGAAUUCCAUGUGUAGCGGUGAAAUGCGUAGAUAUAUGGAGGAACACCGGUGGCGAAAGCGGCUCUCUGGUCUGUAACUGACGCUGAGGCUCGAAAGCGUGGGGAGCGAACAGGAUUAGAUACCCUGGUAGUCCACGCCGUAAACGAUGAGUGCUAGGUGUUGGAUCCUUUCCGGGAUUCAGUGCCGCAGCUAACGCAUUAAGCACUCCGCCUGGGGAGUACGACCGCAAGGUUGAAACUCAAAGGAAUUGACGGGGGCCCGCACAAGCGGUGGAGCAUGUGGUUUAAUUCGAAGCAACGCGAAGAACCUUACCAGGUCUUGACAUCCCGAUGCUAUUUCUAGAGAUAGAAAGUUACUUCGGUACAUCGGUGACAGGUGGUGCAUGGUUGUCGUCAGCUCGUGUCGUGAGAUGUUGGGUUAAGUCCCGCAACGAGCGCAACCCCUAUUGUUAGUUGCCAUCAUUCAGUUGGGCACUCUAGCGAGACUGCCGGUAAUAAACCGGAGGAAGGUGGGGAUGACGUCAAAUCAUCAUGCCCCUUAUGACCUGGGCUACACACGUGCUACAAUGGUUGGUACAACGAGUUGCGAGUCGGUGACGGCAAGCUAAUCUCUUAAAGCCAAUCUCAGUUCGGAUUGUAGGCUGCAACUCGCCUACAUGAAGUCGGAAUCGCUAGUAAUCGCGGAUCAGCACGCCGCGGUGAAUACGUUCCCGGGCCUUGUACACACCGCCCGUCACACCACGAGAGUUUGUAACACCCGAAGUCGGUGAGGUAACCUUUUGGAGCCAGCCGCCUAAGGUGGGAUAGAUGAUUGGGGUGAAGUCGUAACAAAGUA